rnacentral:lncRNA from 10 species
CUCAGACUUCCAGCUGUUUCCUUCAAGAUGCAUGAAAAGAUGAAAAGCUCUGACAACCUCAGGAAGACUCUGACUCAGCUGCAGCCACAUCUGGCUUGAAAUUCUACUGGAAACCCAUGGAGUUCGGGGCUCCACACGGCGACUCUCAUGAUCAUAGAACACGAACAGCUGGUCAUCCACGUAGCCCAAAGCUUCAAACAAGGAAAGACCAAGGUCCUGCUCUGAGGCACCCAUGAAGAGGUAGUGCAGAGAGUGUGAACCUGGAGACAGAGCAACAGGCCUUAACCAUGUGUAGUAGGAGGGGAGCAGGAUGUUGAGGCUCCACACACCUGCAUCAACUCAUACCAUCAGCUGUGUCUGGUCCUCAUUUUGUGAAGGGUGAGUUGCAGUCCUGUCUUUCUUCCAUAUGACAGUCCUGGGUGCUCUUUCCUUGUGUGCUUUUCUCUGCCACACGUGGCUGCCACCCCCUCACUGCCCCCAGAUCCUAUUCCAAUACUCAUGAUUAGACAGACUCCACUAAAGCUGGUGGAUUCUAGAAAAUGUUAAGGUGUGUCUAGCCAUGGUAGUUGAACUCAGGAGUUGGUGCUCAGGGCAAAUUAGACCCAAAUCCUGAGGAAUAAUUCCUUCAGUUUUUUUUUUUUUUUUUUUUUUUUUUUUUGAGACAGAGUCUCACUCUAUCACCCAGGCUGGAGUGCAGUGGCACAAUCUCAGCUCACUGCAACCUGCACCUCCUGGGUUCAAGGGAUUCUCCUACCUAAGCCUCCUGAAAACCUGGGACUAUAGGCGUGCGCCACCACACCAGGCUAAUUUUUGUAUUUUUAGUAGACAUGGGGUUUCACCAUGUUGGCCAAGCUUGUCUCAAACUCCUGACCUCAAAUGAUCUACCUGCCUCAGCCACCAAAGUGCUGGGAUUACAGAAGUGAGCCACCGUGCCCAGCCUUGGUCCUGAAUUCUUACACUGAACUGCCUAUGUGGCCUCACCACUUGGAAGCCUGACUGGAAUCUCAAACUUAACAUGUCCAAAUGCAGAUCCUUGAUUUACCCCAAACUGCUCUUUCCUCUGCCUUCACCAUCUCAGAAAUGGCAUUGCCAAUUACCCCACUGCUCAGGCCAAUAAAAUUAAAAUAAAGAACAAAGUCAACUUUAACUCUUCUCUUUUUCAGGGGGUCAGGGGAGACAGGGUCUUGCUCUGUCACCUAGGCUGAAGUACAGUGGCACAGUCAUGGCUCACUGCAGCCUCAACUUCCUGGGCUCAAGCAAUACCCUCCACCUCAGCCUCCCGAGUAGCUAGGAUCACAGGUGCAUGCCACCACACCCAGCUAAUUUUUGUAUUUUUUGUAGAGAAGGGGUUUUGCUGUGUUGCCCAGGCUGGUCUUGAACUCCUGAGCUCAGGAAUCUGCUCUCCUUGGCCUCCUCCUUGGCAUGAGCUACUACACCCAGCCAAUUCUUCUCUUUCUCUCACACAACAUAGAAUCCUUCAGCAACUUCCUUCAGAAUAUAUUCAGGAGACAAUGGUUUGUCACUCCCUUUUCUGUUCCCACCCAGCCCACUCCACUACCUCUUGCCUGGACUGUGUAACAGCUUCCUGGCUGGGCUCCCUGCUUUUACUGUUGCUCCCUUCAUUCUGCUUUCCACAUAGCAGCCAGAGCAAUCUUUUAAAAGCCUGUGACAGAUCACUGUUACUCCUUGGCUAGAAUUCACACCACAGCCUACAGGCGCCUGCACAACCUUGUUUGUGGCUCCUCUUCUGAGCCCAUUACCUACUUCUUGGCCUCUACUCCCCAGCACUACUUGUUUAUUUUUUUCAACCCGAGCUUCUUAACCAGGAGUUUGUCUACUAGGUGACAUGUGGCAAAGUUUAGAGACAUUUUUGGUUGUCAAGACUGGGGGAGUGCUCCUAGCACCUAGUGAGUAGGGAGGACAGGAUACUGCUAGACAUCCUACAUGCAGAUGGUAGUCCCCCUUCCCACCCCCACGCCGCCCCCCCCCCCCACACACACACACAUGAGUAGUGCUGAGAAAACCCGCUUUUUAAUCCAACUUGCCAGGCCCACUCAGUUUGCCUGGGAAAUACUGCUCCCAGUCAAUAUCAUUCUUAUUUCCUUCAUGUCUCUGCUCAAGUGUCAGCCCCAGAGUGACUUGCCCUGACUUCUCUGCUUCUCACAACACCCAUGAUUUCCUGAUGUUGUAUAUCUUUCUGCUCAUUUGCUUAUUGUCAUCUCUCCCACUAGAAUGCAAAAUAUCAAAGGGUAAAGACUUGUUUCCCUGCUCUCUCCCUUGGGGCUUGAACAGUGCAACACAUGGCUGGGACUCAUUUACACUUGUAAACAAUGAAUAUUUCUGCUCAACAUGAAAUUUUAUUAUUCAACCUCUAAUGCAGUGUGAUGUUUAAGAAUCAUAGCUAUGAAGUGGAGACAUGAGCUCUGCCACCAAAGCCCAGUGUACCAUUGAAUAAAUUUGCCAGGAAGCAGGCCGUGCCAUGCCUCAUUCUUGUCAUGUGUAAAAUGUGGAUACACGUAGUACCAAAACUCAAAGUGCUGUGCUGAGGCCGGCGUGUGACCCACAGAACACUGUGCUACACUACAGGGCAAAAUCACUGUCAACUAAGAUUAGAAGCAGCUGUAGUACUUGAAAUAACAUCAGAAAACCAGAUUAUUUAUGUUCUUUGUAACCUGAAAAGAGUUAUAUAAUCUGAAUUCCAGUUAACUUCUAGUAAAAUAAACGUAUUAUUAGCUCCUACCUCCCUAUGCCUAGUGAAAAUCAAAUAAGAUCAGAUAUGAAUGUAACUUAGAAGUGAGUGCAUUGCUUACAUGUUCAUUAUCAGUACUUUGUAGAGAGGCCUCUUAAUUACACAGCACAUUGCAAAAGAACAAUUGCCAAGAGUGGGGAAAGGCCCGAGGUAGGCCUCUCUCAGGAGCCUCCCACCCUAGAGACCUCCACCCCAGGUCUCACCAAAAGUGGGUGGAAUGGUGAAGAAUUCAGAUCCCCAACGCCACUCUUUCGCGCCCCCACCGCCCAACGCAUUCGUUCUGAGGUGGAAACCCCGUGCGGAUCCUGCUGUGGGUUUGCUCAGCCUUCUCGGCAAGCACUCAGGGAAGAACUUCCUGUUUGGAGAUGACUGGGGAAAAAACUGCACAGCUGACAUUGGAAAUAAACCCGAGUUCCAGAAAGUAGGGAGAGGGGCUUGCGGAUAGGGUUGAGCAGGUCCUCCAAAGUUAGCAAACUCCCAAGCGCAAAGAAAAAGCUAGUUUCGAUUUUUCCACCCCCGCCGCGCCCCUAGUUCGCCCGCAGCCCUCGGACUCACGCAGCAAGCGCCCCUGCAGGACCGCGGUCUGCAAAAGCAUCAGGAGGAGAAGCGCCGGCCUGGCUCGCGGGCCCAUUUCCCCAGCUCUGGCCGCACGUCCCCGUUAAAUCUCCGCUUCUUUUGGGGGGCGGGGAAACGGGGAUGGCUCCAGAAGUCACCCUACAGCUAUUGCCUAGGCUCAGGAGAUGCCCAGUAAAACUUCCUGGUGAAAAGCAACAGGUCUUUCAGAACUUUAGUUCUCUCUCUCCUACAGCAGAAGGUACCUGCUUGUGAAACACUAGGUGAUCCAGUGUCCCCCUUGGUUUUUAAAUCCUGAAGGGGUGUUGUUGAUUGGGGAAAGUAGCUUCGCAAUGUUCUGAUCUGAACUUUAGAUAUUUAAAUAUUUAUGAUUUUCAAAAUUCAAUCAUACAUUUAAAAAUUUUAUCUCAACCUUAGACCAACUUAUGUCUUAUUUGACUUAGAAAUAUAAAGCUUUUUCAUUUUGUUUUUUGAUUCAAAUUAAUUAAGUCAUAACAUUAACCAAUUAGAUCCUACUGAAACACCUUCCACAGCCUUCAUAAUUGAAUUAUCUGACAAGUGUUUCACAAACUUUACAGUAUUGGGAUUAUCUGGAGAAUGAUUAAACAUAUUGAGGCCUGCUCCUAACCCCAGACACACUGAUUUAAUGGGUAAUUGUUAGGUAGUUAGACAUUAGCAGUUGGGAGGGGAUGACAGAAGAGAGCGGAAAGGCUGUCACUAAGACAGCCACUGGCCCACCUAAAUUCAGGCCCAAGACUACCCUAAUGCCACCCUAAGGGAUGGAGUUUAUGAUAAAGUCUGUGGCCAAAAUAUCCUGGAGAAAGAGAAAGGAGGGUACAGGUGGAAAUUCCCUAAGGUGGCACAUGCCCAACAACACAAAAGCCUGUCUUCAAGUUCACCCCAAGUUCAUCAUGCCAUCAUUAUAAUAGAAUUUACAUACAGUUUUGCCCCCCCAUCCCUGGGAGGCUUUUCUUAACAAAUUAUAGGUAAGACCAUGCACAGUUUAAUUUUAGAUUGUAUAGCUAUACACUUCAAUCAAAUAACAUCAUCCUGUCACUCAGAUACAGCCCAAACCUCAACUCCUCCCCACAAACCCCAUAAAAGCACCUUGAGCUCUGUAAAGAAGUGCUGAGUUCACUUCGCAGAAAUAAGCCCGCUGUCCCUCAGAGUGUAUUAUUGUGCUUCAAUAAACUUUGCUUUAAGCUUGCAUUUUGGUGUUAGUUUGUAGUUCUUUGCUCACUAUCACAAGAACUGAGAUUGCUGGUUCAGAGCUCCGGCUAUAAUAAUCUCCUCGGUUAAAGGAUCCAUCCCAAUGCAUAAUUCCCAGUAACAGUAUGGGAUGCCACCUGGGCAAUGGGAUUUUAAAAGCUUUCCUUCUCCCUCAACGAAGUUUGGGAAUUAUUGCCUUAGACAUUUCAAACAAUAUUAAUAAAUUUAAUACACCUGAUUUGCUCCAAACCUUUACAUAUCUAGCAAAUUCAACAGGCAUUAUUUUUGUAAGCAUGUAUGCAAAUUUUGGCAAUUCAAGAAAAUCAAACAGGAUAUCAGGGCCUCGACUGUAGGCAAACAGAUACAAUAACAUUGGAAACAUGUAGAAUAUUGAUGAUGGG